rnacentral:rRNA from 1 species
UUCCUACGGGACGCAGCAGUCGAGAAUCAUUCACAAUGGGGGAAACCCUGAUGGUGCGACGCCGCGUGGGUGAAGGAGCGUUUCGGCGCGUAAAGCCCUGUCAGCGGGGAAGAAGAAAGACGGUACCCGACCAAGAAGCCCCGGCUAACUACGUGCCAGCAGCCGCGGUAAUACGUAGGGGGCGAGCGUUAUCCGGAAUUACUGGGUGUAAAGGGAGCGUAGACGGCGAGGUAAGCCUGAAGUGGAAGCCCGCGGCCCAACCGCGGAACUGCUUUGGGUACUGUUUUGCUGGGGUAUGGGAGGGG